rnacentral:rRNA from 1 species
CCUACGGGUGGCAGCAGUGGGGAAUAUUGCGCAAUGGGCGCAAGCCUGAUGCAGCGAUGCCGCGUGUGGGAUGAAGGCCUUCGGGUUGUAAAGUACUUUCAGCGGGGAGGAAGGGAGUCAAGUUAAUACCUUUGUUAAUUGACGUUACCCGCAAAAGAAGCACCGGCUAACUCCGUGCCAGCAGCCGCGGUAAUACGGAGGGUGCAAGCGUUAAUCGGAAUUACUGGGCGUAAAGCGCACGCAGGCGGUAUGUUAAGUCAAGUGUGAAAUCCCCGCGCUCAACGUGGGAACUGCCUUUGAAACUGGCAAACUGGAGUGUGUGAGAGGGUAGUGGAAUUCCAGGUGUAGCGGUGAAAUGCGUAGAGAUCUGGAGGAAUACCAGUGGCGAAGGCGACCACCUGGCCCAAGACUGACGCUGAGGUGCGAAAGCGUGGGUAGCAAACAGGAUUAGAUACCCGAGUAGUC